rnacentral:rRNA from 1 species
GUGGGGAAUAUUGGGCAAUGGGCGAAAGCCUGACCCAGCAACGCCGCGUGAAGGAAGAAGGUUUUCGGAUUGUAAACUUCUUUUGCAGGGAACGAAUAAAAUGACGGUACCCUGCGAAUGAGCCACGGCUAACUACGUGCCAGCAGCCGCGGUAAUACGUAGGUGGCAAGCGUUGUCCGGAAUUACUGGGUGUAAAGGGCGAGUAGGCGGCCAGACAAGUCAGAUGUGAAAUACCGGAGCUCAACUCCGGGGCUGCAUUUGAAACUGUAUGGCUUGAGUGAUGGAGAGGUAGAUGGAAUUCCCGGUGUAGCGGUGGAAUGCGUAGAUAUCGGGAGGAACACCAGUGGCGAAGGCGGUCUACUGGACAUUAACUGACGCUGAGGAGCGAAAGCGUGGGGAGCAAACAGGAUUAGAAACCCGUGUAGUCC